rnacentral:piRNA from 1 species
UAAUGGAGCAAGGUCCAUUUAUGGCAAACU